GAUGAACGCUGGCGGCGUGCCUAAUACAUGCAAGUCGAGCGAACAGAUAAGGAGCUUGCUCCUUUGACGUUAGCGGCGGACGGGUGAGUAACACGUGGGUAACCUACCUAUAAGACUGGGAUAACUUCGGGAAACCGGAGCUAAUACCGGAUAAUAUUUCGAACCGCAUGGUUCGAUAGUGAAAGAUGGUUUUGCUAUCACUUAUAGAUGGACCCGCGCCGUAUUAGCUAGUUGGUAAGGUAACGGCUUACCAAGGCGACGAUACGUAGCCGACCUGAGAGGGUGAUCGGCCACACUGGAACUGAGACACGGUCCAGACUCCUACGGGAGGCAGCAGUAGGGAAUCUUCCGCAAUGGGCGAAAGCCUGACGGAGCAACGCCGCGUGAGUGAUGAAGGUCUUCGGAUCGUAAAACUCUGUUAUUAGGGAAGAACAUACGUGUAAGUAACUGUGCACGUCUUGACGGUACCUAAUCAGAAAGCCACGGCUAACUACGUGCCAGCAGCCGCGGUAAUACGUAGGUGGCAAGCGUUAUCCGGAAUUAUUGGGCGUAAAGCGCGCGUAGGCGGUUUUUUAAGUCUGAUGUGAAAGCCCACGGCUCAACCGUGGAGGGUCAUUGGAAACUGGAAAACUUGAGUGCAGAAGAGGAAAGUGGAAUUCCAUGUGUAGCGGUGAAAUGCGCAGAGAUAUGGAGGAACACCAGUGGCGGAGGCGACUUUCUGGUCUGUAACUGACGCUGAUGUGCGAAAGCGUGGGGAUCAAACAGGAUUAGAUACCCUGGUAGUCCACGCCGUAAACGAUGAGUGCUAAGUGUUAGGGGGUUUCCGCCCCUUAGUGCUGCAGCUAACGCAUUAAGCACUCCGCCUGGGGAGUACGACCGCAAGGUUGAAACUCAAAGGAAUUGACGGGGACCCGCACAAGCGGUGGAGCAUGUGGUUUAAUUCGAAGCAACGCGAAGAACCUUACCAAAUCUUGACAUCCCUUGACAACUCUAGAGAUAGAGCUUUCCCCUUCGGGGGACAAAGUGACAGGUGGUGCAUGGUUGUCGUCAGCUCGUGUCGUGAGAUGUUGGGUUAAGUCCCGCAACGAGCGCAACCCUUAAGCUUAGUUGCCAUCAUUAAGUUGGGCACUCUAAGUUGACUGCCGGUGACAAACCGGAGGAAGGUGGGGAUGACGUCAAAUCAUCAUGCCCCUUAUGAUUUGGGCUACACACGUGCUACAAUGGACAAUACAAAGGGCAGCGAAACCGCGAGGUCAAGCAAAUCCCAUAAAGUUGUUCUCAGUUCGGAUUGUAGUCUGCAACUCGACUACAUGAAGCUGGAAUCGCUAGUAAUCGUAGAUCAGCAUGCUACGGUGAAUACGUUCCCGGGUCU
rnacentral:rRNA from 1 species